GAGAAGGGAGCCAGGAGGGGCUUCUCCUUCAAAACCCUAACCUACUAAAUUCAAUCAAAUUGAAGGCGAAACCUGUUGAUAAUCCAAUGCAUGAGUUAGGAAUGUUCAUUCCCUAAGUAAAUUUCACAUCAAAAUGUGGUUUUGAUGGGCACGAAGAAAGAAGAAGGCGCAAGUCACUCGGAGUCACAAGCAUCUCAAAGAUCACGGUAA
rnacentral:lncRNA from 1 species